AAAAUUUUAUAGAAUAAAGCAAGAAUUGAAGGUACACUACUCAAUAGGAAUUUUGAGUUCUAAUUAUUUUUUUGUUUAAAGCAAUUAUUUUUUGUUUUUUAUUUAUUGAAUACAAAGGGAGCAGCUGUUAGCUGAAUAAGAAAUUGUAGUGUUAGUAGAUGAAGGUGUUAGCCACACCAAGUAGAUCAUCUCUACAACAUAUCAUAAACCUUUUUUUUAUUCUUUGUAAAUUUUGAUCAUUGAUCUAAAUGUUACAUCAUACUUCUAUUCCUCUACAACAUAUCAUAAACCUUUUUUUGUUCUUUGUAAAUUUUGAUCAUUGAUCUAAAUGUUACAUGAUACUUCUGUUCAAUGUGCUUGUAAAUUCUGUGGAAAAAUAUAAUGAAGAGUUGGAAGGUAUAUUUUAAUAAUAUUUUGCUUAGUGUAUUCAAAUAUUUUCAGUGAAGAUGAAUUUGGAAUAACAUCGGAUGCGGCCCUUUCUCAAAUUAUGCAUGUGCGAUAAAUAUUUCAUAAUCGGACUGUCUUUUUUUAUUUAAAUAUUUUCAGCCAUACAUCUUUUUAUUAACUCUGAGGUUAAUAAA
rnacentral:lncRNA from 1 species